rnacentral:rRNA from 1 species
UAGGGAAUCUUCGGCAAUGGGGGCAACCCUGACCGAGCAACGCCGCGUGAGUGAAGAAGGUUUUCGGAUCGUAAAGCUCUGUUGUAAGAGAAGAACGUGUGUGAGAGUGGAAAGUUCACACAGUGACGGUAACUUACCAGAAAGGGACGGCUAACUACGUGCCAGCAGCCGCGGUAAUACGUAGGUCCCGAGCGUUGUCCGGAUUUAUUGGGCGUAAAGCGAGCGCAGGCGGUUUAAUAAGUCUGAAGUUAAAGGCAGUGGCUUAACCAUUGUUCGCUUUGGAAACUGUUAAACGUGAGUGCAGAAGGUGGGAGUGGAAUUCCAUGUGUAGCGGUGAAAUGCGUAGAUAUAUGGAGGAACACCGGUGGCGAAAGCGGCUCUCUGGUCUGUAACUGACGCUGAGGCUCGAAAGCGUGGGAAGCAAGCAGG